GAUCAUCCAGCAGGGUGUGGUGUCAUGCACUCUCAUGACCUUGGUCGGGACGUAGUGAACCCCAGAGGUCAAGAAGUGGGGUGGCGCUGAGUCUUGCCACAAAGAUCCUGAGGUGGCCAGGCUCCUGGGGGUUUU
ensembl:miRNA